rnacentral:lncRNA from 1 species
AUUUUUUUUAAUAACUGAACUUAAAUAUUUGGUUAAAAAAUAUAGGAUGCAGUAGAUACAGUAAAGAAUACUACAGUCCCAAGUAACUUUUAUAAUGACAUCACUGUGAGGAGGAGGUGAAGGACAGGCAGUAGAGGAGGAGGGAGUUUUUCCUGUGAUAAGCAUCUCAGAGGAACAUAGGGAUAUCAUUCAGAAAGGUUGUUUGAACUUCAGUAAUAGAAAUGGGAUUACACUCCAAGUAGUCUACGAUGAAAGGUCAUUUGGAGCCAAUAACAUGCAAUUCUGCUGUAAGUUGUGGGCAUAUUACUUAGAAAUAACUGAGGAGGAGAACAUAUCUCUGUAUUACUGGCCGAUCAAGAAGUAUGAGUUGACAAAAUGGCACAGCUGUGAAAAAGGCAAAUAUGAUCCUAGUAUGCACUCCAGUAGCAGUAGGGAAUUAGUAUUACUUUGGACACCUCAUUUGGAGUAAUUCAUUCAGUUGUGUUUUUAUGCUUGAAAAAAAGGUGAACUCAAGCUGGAACACAUGCAGUUAAAUACUGUUUAGAUGAUGGCAAAGCCCACAUUACAGAGCAGUUUAUAAAACCUUGCCUUGUUUGGUGUAGUAGAGUCAGAGAGAAAAUAAGAUUCCUGCUGAUAAAUACAUUCUGCUGAUACACAAUGAGAGGUAAAGCUAGCCAAAGAACAAAUGUGUAAGUGACUAUGAUUAAAUUUAAGUCUGGAAAUUAGGAGAGGUGUUUUUCUGUUUGCUUGCUUUUGUUUGUUUGUUUAGUUCUUCAAGUUUGAGUCAUUACAUCCUGGGACAAAUUUCCAGCGAAAAUAGUUUGGAUAGAAAAAACAGUCAAGAAGAUACCAAAAUAGUCACAAACCAGAUGAAACCAGCCAACCCCAAAAAAACAUCAAAACCAGCCAACCAACCAACCAAACAAACAAAAUAUCCAGCCUUUGAAGAUACAGUUUGUUAUAUUUGUAAAAAGGACUGUGUGUGGGGCAGCCAGGGAGGCCUGUAUGGGCACAUGCUGCGUGAUCAACACCUGCCCCCCUUACUGCAACGCUUCUGGAGUCAGAUGGUGAAACCCUGUUUCCGUUUAAAUUGUGGGAAGGUGAAAUCAAGAGUGCAGUCACAUUUUCUUCUUUUUGAUGGGAUGGAAGGGCAGAAAGAUGUAGCAAGGCAUGUAAUUCAUGGGUAAAUGCUUGGAAAGCUUGUAAGGCAAAUGGAUUGAAAAGUCAAUGUUGUGGCUAUGAUAAACUGGUGAGAGAAGCUUCCAUGUGGCAUGUGUCAGUAUGACCUUCUCCUUGCCCACUUUCAGCACAAUUGUACUCCAAGGGCUCUAGGGUAUUUGUGGCACCAAACAUCCAGCAUUUCUCUAUGCAAAUUUUCAUACCACUCUGUGCAUUGAAUAAUUUUUUUCUCUAUAAAGCUUGAAGGUCUAUGUUGAGAAUUUACUAAAGCC